rnacentral:rRNA from 1 species
CAGUAGCCGCGGGAAUACGUAGGGUGCGAGCGUUAAUCGGAAUUACUGGGCGUAAAGCGUGCGCAGGCGGUUGUGUAAGACAGGUGUGAAAUCCCCGGGCUUAACCUGGGAACUGCGCUUGUGACUGCACAGCUAGAGUAUGGCAGAGGGGGUGGAAUUCCACGUGUAGCAGUGAAAUGCGUAGAGAUGUGGAGGAACACCGAUGGCGAAGGCAGCCCCCUGGGCCAAUACUGACGCUCAUGCACGAAAGCGUGGGGAGCAAACAGGAUUAGAUACCCGAGUAGUCCCUGUCUCUUAUACA